GACGAACGCUGGCGGCAUGCUUAACACAUGCAAGUCGAACGGAGUGGCGAACGGGUGAGUAUUACGUGAGUAACCUGCCCUCAACUGUGGGAUAAGCCUGGGAAACUGGGUCUAAUACUGCAUAGUUGGGGCUGGGCUCGCGGCCGAUCAGCUUGUUGGGGGGGUGAUGGCCUACCAAGGCGGUGACGGGUAGCCGGCCUGAGAGGGAGGUCGGCAACAUUGGAACGGAGAUACGGCCCAGAGUGCUACGGGAGGCAGAAGGGGGGGAUAUUGCACAAGGGGGGCAAGCCUAAUGCAGCGAUGCCGCGUGGGGGAUGAAGGCUUUCGGGUUGUAAACCGCGGUCGGUACAGAACGGGUAUGUGCAGAAGAAGCGCCGGCUAACUACGUGCCAGCAGCCGCGGUAAUAC
rnacentral:rRNA from 1 species